rnacentral:rRNA from 1 species
UACCAGCACCCCGAGUGGUCGGGACGUUUAUUGGGCCUAAAGCAUCCGUAGCCGGUUCUGCAAGUCCUCCGUUAAAUCCACCUGCUUAACGGAUGGGCUGCGGGGGAUACCGCAGAGCUAGGAGGCGGGAGAGGCAAACGGUACUCAGUGGGUAGGGGUAAAAUCCAUUGAUCUACUGAAGACCACCAGUGGCGAAGGCGGCUCACUGGCCCGAUACUGACGCUGAGGCACGAAAGCGUGGGGAGCAAACAGG